rnacentral:pre_miRNA from 1 species
AACCAACGUUUCAGAGGUCAUACUGCCUCCGUCAUCAGGGCGCUGAUGGCAGAGGCAGUAUGACCUCUGAAACGUUGGUA